GGAUCCCAUCAGAACUCCGCAGUCAAGCGUGCUUGGGCGAGAGUAUUACUAGGAUGUGUGACCUCCUGGGAAGUCCUCGUGUUGCACCC
rnacentral:rRNA from 1 species